CCAACCGCUAUGAUACCCAUGAUCCUGCUCCACCUCUUGCGAUGGAUACCGCACGAUUCUUCCAUCCUCUGACAAGUCGCGACAAUGGACGCCGCUCCACUCCCCACGACAGACUCCACGUGGCAUGUCCCGGUGAUAGCCACGAUUCCACUCCACUACUCUUCACAACAAACUCCUCCUGACUCUGGACGGCCCACUGCC
rnacentral:lncRNA from 1 species